rnacentral:SRP_RNA from 1 species
UGCACGGUGGAGGCUGGGCACACGGUCGAAGUGGGGGACGUGGUGGUGCUCCAGGCCAUGCGGACCACCGGAGGCGGGGAGCACAGCACGGCGCACCUGGUGCGGUUUGAGGGCCACGAGG